CCUACGGGUGGCAGCAGUGGGGGAUAUUGCACAAUGGGGGAAACCCUGAUGCAGCGACGCCGCGUGGGCGAAGAAGUAUUUCGGUAUGUAAAGCCCUAUCAGCAGGGAAGAAGAAAUGACGGUACCUGAGUAAGAAGCACCGGCUAAAUACGUGCCAGUAGCCGCGGUAAUACGUAUGGGGCAGCGUUAUCCGGAUUUACUGGGUGUAAAGGGAGCGUAGACGGUGCGCCAAGUCUGGAGUGAAAUGCCGCAGCUUAACUGCGGAACUGCUUUGGAAACUGGCGAACUAGAGUGCGGGAGGGGUAAGCGGAAUUCGUGGUGUAGCGGGGAAAUGCGUAGAUAUUAGGAGGAACACCGGUGGCGAAGGCGGCUUACUGGACCGUAACUGACGUUGAGGCUCGAAAGCGUGGGGAGCAAACAGGAUUAGAUACCCCUGUAGUC
rnacentral:rRNA from 1 species